AAUGAACGUUGGCGGCGUGGAUUAGGCAUGCAAGUCGAGCGCUCAUAGCAAUAUGGGAGCGGCGAACGGCGUAGUAAUACGUAGGAACGUACCCUCGGGUCGAGGAUAGCUAUGGGAAACUGUAGGUAAUACUCGAUAACCUCUGCGGAGCAAAGGUGUGAUUCCGCCCGAGGAGCGGCUUACGCGAUAUUAGCUGGUUGGUAGGGUAAUGGCCUACCAAGGCGAUGAUGUCUAGGGGGUGUGAGAGCAUGGCCCCCACGACCGGAACUGAGAUACUGUCCGGACACCUACGGGUGGGCUGCAGUCGAGAAUCUUCCGCAAUGGACGAAAGUACUGACGGAGCGACGCCGCGUGCGGGAGUGAAGGA
rnacentral:rRNA from 1 species